rnacentral:pre_miRNA from 1 species
AAAGUACUCACUCCGUCCCAAAAUUAUUGUCUUAGAUUUGUCCAGAUACGGAUGUAUCAAGUCACAUUUUAGUAUUAGAUACAUCCGUAUCUAGACAAAUCUAAGACAAGAAAUUUGGGACAGAGGGAGUAGUCG